AGAGUUUGAUCAUGGCUCAGAUUGAACGCUGGCGGCAGGCCUAACACAUGCAAGUCGAGCGGUAGCACAGAGAGCUUGCUCUCGGGUGACGAGCGGCGGACGGGUGAGUAAUGUCUGGGAAACUGCCUGAUGGAGGGGGAUAACUACUGGAAACGGUAGCUAAUACCGCAUAACGUCGCAAGACCAAAGUGGGGGACCUUCGGGCCUCAUGCCAUCAGAUGUGCCCAGAUGGGAUUAGCUAGUAGGUGGGGUAACGGCUCACCUAGGCGACGAUCCCUAGCUGGUCUGAGAGGAUGACCAGCCACACUGGAACUGAGACACGGUCCAGACUCCUACGGGAGGCAGCAGUGGGGAAUAUUGCACAAUGGGCGCAAGCCUGAUGCAGCCAUGCCGCGUGUAUGAAGAAGGCCUUCGGGUUGUAAAGUACUUUCAGCGGGGAGGAAGGCGAUAAGGUUAAUAACCUUGUCGAUUGACGUUACCCGCAGAAGAAGCACCGGCUAACUCCGUGCCAGCAGCCGCGGUAAUACGGAGGGUGCAAGCGUUAAUCGGAAUUACUGGGCGUAAAGCGCACGCAGGCGGUCUGUCAAGUCGGAUGUGAAAUCCCCGGGCUCAACCUGGGAACUGCAUUCGAAACUGGCAGGCUAGAGUCUUGUAGAGGGGGGUAGAAUUCCAGGUGUAGCGGUGAAAUGCGUAGAGAUCUGGAGGAAUACCGGUGGCGAAGGCGGCCCCCUGGACAAAGACUGACGCUCAGGUGCGAAAGCGUGGGGAGCAAACAGGAUUAGAUACCCUGGUAGUCCACGCCGUAAACGAUGUCGAUUUGGAGGUUGUGCCCUUGAGGCGUGGCUUCCGGAGCUAACGCGUUAAAUCGACCGCCUGGGGAGUACGGCCGCAAGGUUAAAACUCAAAUGAAUUGACGGGGGCCCGCAUAAGCGGUGGAGCAUGUGGUUUAAUUCGAUGCAACGCGAAGAACCUUACCUGGUCUUGACAUCCACAGAACUUAGCAGAGAUGCUUUGGUGCCUUCGGGAACUGUGAGACAGGUGCUGCAUGGCUGUCGUCAGCUCGUGUUGUGAAAUGUUGGGUUAAGUCCCGCAACGAGCGCAACCCUUAUCCUUUGUUGCCAGCGGUUAGGCCGGGAACUCAAAGGAGACUGCCAGUGAUAAACUGGAGGAAGGUGGGGAUGACGUCAAGUCAUCAUGGCCCUUACGACCAGGGCUACACACGUGCUACAAUGGCGCAUACAAAGAGAAGCGACCUCGCGAGAGCAAGCGGACCUCAUAAAGUGCGUCGUAGUCCGGAUUGGAGUCUGCAACUCGACUCCAUGAAGUCGGAAUCGCUAGUAAUCGUAGAUCAGAAUGCUACGGUGAAUACGUUCCCGGGCCUUGUACACACCGCCCGUCACACCAUGGGAGUGGGUUGCAAAAGAAGUAGGUAGCUUAACCUUCGGGAGGGCGCUUACCACUUUGUGAUUCAUGACUGGGGUGAAGUCGUAACAAGGUAACCGUAGGGGAACCUGCGGUUGGAUCACCU
rnacentral:rRNA from 1 species